rnacentral:rRNA from 1 species
UACGUAGGGUGCGAGCGUUAAUCGGAAUUACUGGGCGUAAAGCGUGCGCAGGCGGUUCGUUGUGUCGGUGGUGAAAGCCCCGGGCUUAACCUGGGAAUGGCCAUGGAAACUGGCGAACUGGAGUGUGGCAGAGGGGGGUGGAAUUCCGCGUGUAGCAGUGAAAUGCGUAGAGAUGUGGAGGAAUACCGAUGGCGAAGGCAGCCCCCUGGGCCAAUACUGACGCUCAUGCACGAAAGCGUGGGGAGCAAACAGG